rnacentral:rRNA from 1 species
CAGUAGCCACGGUAAUACGGAGGGCGCGAGCGUUACCCGGAUUUACUGGGCGUAAAGGGCGUGUAGGCGGCCUGGGGCGUCCCAUGUGAAAGGCCACGGCUCAACCGUGGAGGAGCGUGGGAUACGCUCAGGCUAGAGGGUGGGAGAGGGUGGUGGAAUUCCCGGAGUAGCGGUGAAAUGCGCAGAUACCGGGAGGAACGCCGAUGGCGAGGGCAGCCACCUGGUCCACUUCUGACGCUGAGGCGCGAAAGCGUGGGGAGCAAACCGGAUUAGAUACCCCCGUAGUCCCUGUCUCUUAUAC